rnacentral:tRNA from 1 species
AAUGAGUUGGCAGAGUUAUGCACUUGAUUUAGGAUCAACCCACAGGAGUAUCUCCUACUCAUUA